UACGUAGGGGGCAAGCGUUGUCCGGAAUCAUUGGGCGUAAAGCGCGUGUAGGCGGCCUUGUAAGUCCGUUCUGAAAGCCCGGGGCUCAACCCCGGGAGGCGGAUGGAUACUGCAAGGCUCGAGUACGGAAGAGGCGAGUGGAAUUCCCGGUGUAGCGGUGAAAUGCGCAGAUAUCGGGAGGAACACCAAUGGCGAAGGCAGCUCGCUGGGACGUUACUGACGCUGAGACGCGAAAGCGUGGGGAG
rnacentral:rRNA from 1 species